rnacentral:rRNA from 1 species
UACGUAGGGGGCAAGCGUUGUCCGGAUUUAUUGGGCGUAAAGCGCUCGCAGGUGGUUCAUUGCGUCGUGCGUGAAAGACCCCGGCUCAACUGGGGAGGGUCGUGCGAAACGGGUGAACUAGAGGCCAGUAGGGGGAUGCGGAAUUCCGGGUGUAUGGUGGAAUGCGUAGAGAUCCGGAGGAACACCAGCGGCGAAGGCGG